rnacentral:lncRNA from 1 species
GUGGAAAGACUUUCAAUUGUUCUCUGAACAAUUGGUUUUUAAUUAUUAUUUUUUUUUUUUUCUUCCGCAAAUUUGUUCUUGCGCAAAAUGUUUGUUUCGCAAUAUGUCGCUUAAAUAUUUCCCAUAUGGUAUCGUAUUGUUUAUGCGCUUUUUAAUUUCACCCUGCUAAGCCGAUCCAUUUUCUAUGUAAGAGUUAUCUCCCUUUUCACUGUUUACCCUCUGUGUGCAUCUCCUUCGUAACCAAAAAAGAUAGCGACAAAAUUCUUGAUACAAAUUGUUCGUUACAUCCUCAGAAAAUUUUGGCUAAUUUGGAUCGAAGCGAUUCGAAGAAAUUUUAUAGGAGUUAUCUAUCUUUACGGAAUAAAUUUGUCGGUAUGUUUUUUUAACUC